GUGCCUGUAGCAUAGCGGUCUAAUGCGCUUGGUUGUGGUCCAAGAUAUCGGAGGUUCAAAUCCUCUCAGGCACC
rnacentral:tRNA from 1 species